UUUGAUCAGGCUCUUAGAGGUAGACCGCCGGGUUCUGGCCCCGGAGACCGAGGUUCGAUUCCUUGGGACAGAGCCA
rnacentral:tRNA from 1 species